GUCGAUCUGGUGGCAACACCGGUGAAAACUCAGUGGCGAACGGGUGCGGAACACGUGAGCAACCUGCCCCAAAGACCGGGAUAACACCGGGAAACUGGUGCUAAUACCGGAUACCCCCACGAGCUCGCAUGGGCUUGUGAGGAAAGGGUUUCCGCUUUGGGAGGGGCUCGCGGCCUAUCAGCUUGUUGGUGAGGUAACGGCUCACCAAGGCGACGACGGGUAGCUGGUCUGAGAGGACGAUCAGCCACACUGGGACUGAGACACGGCCCAGACUCCUACGGGAGGCAGCAGUGGGGAAUCUUGCGCAAUGGGCGAAAGCCUGACGCAGCAACGCCGCGUGGGGGAUGAAGGCCUUCGGG
rnacentral:rRNA from 1 species